AAUUUAGAACCAGCAGCGGGACUCCGUGCACUUUCGUUUCAAGCGAUGCGAUCGCAUUUAUGCAAAUUAGCAGAGUAUAGACGUAGUAGAAGAGGUGUUCCCAAAUUCCCAACAGACUACUAAAUUCCACACGGACGUAAGCAGUGAUUGGUCGUUAUCAUCUGAUUUUGACAUAGAUAGACAUAUGGAUUUGGAUGAAUUUUUGUGGUUAUAAUGGAAAUAUGAAGACGUGGAAAGAUAUGCAGAAAGUUGAGACAAGUUAUGUAAGGUCUAGAACAGUUCACACAAAGAAACAAGAUGAUUUAUACUAUGAGUAUAGUUUUUAAUCAAUUUCAUGCUAUGAGUGUAACAGAAAUAACAUAAUAAUAUGCAAGGAGUAUAGAUGCUAGGAGAGUAUAUUAUAUUCAUUGAUGUGGAUAUAAGCCCAACUAUAAAAUAAUUAGGACAGAGAAACCUGUUCCAUUCAUUGUCCCUCCAGACUGAUUUGCAAACUGUGAGAUCAAGGACAGCUUUCUAUCAGUUAUGUAUUGGAAAACACAUGCUGGACAUGCUGAACCAUGCAUCUGUAAAAACUACAAGAAAAAAUGGUUGUAGAGAAAUUAAUGAGGUGCCACCCAAUAAAAUUUCAUGAGAUUCAAGAAUGUGAAGAUACAUGAGCAAUUUCAGAUGAUGCUGCAAGGUGUUUGGGAGAAAAUAAAAAGAGAAACUGAGUAAACAUUGAAUUUGAUAUUAAGAUAGUUUUUUAGCUCACAAAUGUUUUUUGUUUUGUAUCUGUAU
rnacentral:lncRNA from 1 species